GAAGAUGGUAAAUUGGUUC
rnacentral:siRNA from 1 species